CCUACGGGAGGCAGCAGUGGGGAAUAUUGCACAAUGGGGGCAACCCUGAUGCAGCGACGCCGCGUGAGGGAUGACGUAUUUCGGUAUUGUAAGCUCUAUCAGCAGGGAAGAAAAUGACGGUACCUGAUUAAGAAGCCCCGGCUAACUACGUGCCAGCAGCCGCGGUACUGCGUAGGGGGCAAGCGUUAUCCGGAUUUACUGGGUGUAAAGGGAGCGUAGACGGCAUCACAAGUCAGGAGUGAAAUGCCGGGGCUUAACCCCGGAACUGCUGUGGAAACUGUGCAGCUAGAGUGCAGGAGAGGUAAGUGGAAUUCGUGGUGUAGCGGUGAAAUGCGUAGAUAUUAGGAGGAACACCAGUUGCGAAGGCAGCUUACUGGACUGUAACUGACGUUGAGGCUCGAAAGCGUGGGGAGCAAACAGGAUUAGAUACCCUUGUAGUC
rnacentral:rRNA from 1 species